GUUGGUGGUAAUUUUAGUUAUGCCACUAUGAAAGCGUCGAUUGUUAAGUAGACAUAAAAAGUUUGAAGUAUGCACAAAGCCUGAAAGUGUCAAAUAUGGAACCUAAAAAAACCUGCCUUUGCCACUGACUGUAUAAAGGUUUUUUAAGGUCUGUUUGUCAAGCGUCAAGUCAGGUUACCUUGCUACUGGUACCAUGUAGUACAUCCUGCUUAAGCAGGUUGUACGCCAUCCAUACGACGUUUGGGCAUCUGUUUGUAAAAUAUUGCUGCAAAUCUUUUUGAGAGAGCCAUUACUAUGGAGAACCAUCUAAACCAUACAAGUGUGGAAACAUGGAUGUAAAUCUAUAUUAAUGUGAAAUAAACUGAUGAGUUUAUUUAACUUAGCUGGUAAAAAAAAGAGUUUUCGUGAAACAAAUUUAAUGAAGACAGUUAUAGAAUAAAGUUCAUUCAUUUGCUGGCAACAUUUUUAAACGUGGUCCAGAUCGAAAAAAUUUGGUGCCAGAAAUAGUCGAUAGUGGAAGUGAUAGAUGCAUCGAACCUAAUUUGUAAUUAAUUUCUGUAAAUAAAUUUCACUUUA